rnacentral:rRNA from 1 species
UGCAAGUCGAGCGGUAACACAGAGAGCUUGCUCUCGGGUGACGAGCGGCGGACGGGUGAGUAAUGUCUGGGAAACUGCCUGAUGGAGGGGGAUAACUACUGGAAACGGUAGCUAAUACCGCAUAACGUCGCAAGACCAAAGUGGGGGACCUUCGGGCCUCAUGCCAUCAGAUGUGCCCAGAUGGGAUUAGCUAGUAGGUGGGGUAAUGGCUCACCUAGGCGACGAUCCCUAGCUGGUCUGAGAGGAUGACCAGCCACACUGGAACUGAGACACGGUCCAGACUCCUACGGGAGGCAGCAGUGGGGAAUAUUGCACAAUGGGCGCAAGCCUGAUGCAGCCAUGCCGCGUGUAUGAAGAAGGCCUUCGGGUUGUAAAGUACUUUCAGCGAGGAGGAAGGCAUUAAGGUUAAUAACCUUGGUGAUUGACGUUACUCGCAGAAGAAGCACCGGCUAACUCCGUGCCAGCAGCCGCGGUAAUACGGAGGGUGCAAGCGUUAAUCGGAAUUACUGGGCGUAAAGCGCACGCAGGCGGUCUGUCAAGUCGGAUGUGAAAUCCCCGGGCUCAACCUGGGAACUGCAUUCGAAACUGGCAGGCUAGAGUCUUGUAGAGGGGGGUAGAAUUCCAGGUGUAGCGGUGAAAUGCGUAGAGAUCUGGAGGAAUACCGGUGGCGAAGGCGGCCCCCUGGACAAAGACUGACGCUCAGGUGCGAAAGCGUGGGGAGCAAACAGGAUUAGAUACCCUGGUAGUCCACGCCGUAAACGAUGUCGACUUGGAGGUUGUGCCCUUGAGGCGUGGCUUCCGGAGCUAACGCGUUAAGUCGACCGCCUGGGGAGUACGGCCGCAAGGUUAAAACUCAAAUGAAUUGACGGGGGCCCGCACAAGCGGUGGAGCAUGUGGUUUAAUUCGAUGCAACGCGAAGAACCUUACCUACU